AUGGUACUGGGCUGGAAAACAGCAAUACAGACAAUUAAGUGUGUUGUUGUGGACGAUGAUGCUGUUGGUAAAACAAGUCUCCUGAUAUCCUACACAACAAACAAAUUUCCAUCGGAACAUGUGCCGACUGUUUUUGACAAUUAUGCAGUCAGUUACGAUUGGUGGAGACCCAUAUACUCUUGGGCUUUUUGAUACUGCAGAGCAAGAGCAUUAUGACAGAUUACUACUACUGAGUUAUCCACAGACAGAUGUAUUUCUAGUCUGUUUUUCAGUGGUCUCUCCACCUUCAUUUGAAAAUGCGAAAGAAAAGUGGGUGCCUGAGAUAACUCACCACUGUCCAAAGACUCCUUUUUUGCUUGUUGGGAUCCAAAUUGGCCUCAGAGAUGACCCCCCUACUAUUGAGAAACUUUCCAAGAACAAACAGAAGCCUAUCACUCCAGAGACUGCUGAAAAGCUGGUCCAUGACCUGAAGACUGUAAGGUAUGUAGAGUGUUCCGCACUCACACAGAAAGGCGUGAAGAAUGUGUUUGACGAAGCAAUGUUGGCUGCCCUGGAGCCUCCAGAACCAAAGAAGAGCCGCAGGUGUGUGCUGCUAUGAACAUCUCUCCAGAGCCCUUUCUGCCCAGCUGGUGUUGGCAUCAUACUAAAAGCAGUGUUUAAAUCAAAAUAAGAUUAAAAAUUAAAGUUCAUUUUUGCAAUAAUGGCAAAUGCCCUGCACCUACCCACAUACACUCACGUGAGACAAGGCCAUAGGUAUGGCCCCUUCCCCCUCCCAGGACUAGGUGACUUUGAGUAAUUGUGUAUUGUCAAAAAAGUGAUUAGUACUAGUUUUUGUUUUGUAGCUUGAAAAAAUAAUUUUUUGUUUGUUUAAAAGCAAGGUGUACAGACUAACAAAUUGUUGAAGCUGCUUCCUGGUUCCACUCUGGAGAGUAAUCUGGGACAUCUUAGUGUUUUGAGUUUUUUUUUUUUCUCCUCUUUUUUUCGAGGAUUGUGUGUGGGGUUUGUUUUUUAGUCUUGUUUUUUUAAAUUCAUUAACCAGUGGAUAGCCCUUAAGGGGAGGAGGAUGGAUUGAUUCCACCUUCCACUUCCUGGAUCUAGUUUAGAAAACAUGUUCCUCAUCUGGUGCUCUUAGGAAGGAGUAGAGUAAAUGCCUCAUUUAGUAACAUGCGGAUUUUUGAAAGUUGCCUUUUCUCUCCACCCUGGAGUAGAUCCAGUAUUGGAUGAAACUCAUGAAAGUGGGUGGAGCCUGUCUUGCCCCUUCUCUUUUCUAGGACACACUAUAUGUGAUUGUGACUUUCAAGGACAUUUGUUUGCCAUUUGCUGAUUUUUUGGGGAAGUUGAUUUCUAACUUCUCUCACUGAUAAAUGAAGAAAAGUAUUGCACCUUUGAAAUACACCAAAUGAAUUGAGUUUGUAAUUUAAAAAAAUUUUUUCCCUGUC